rfam:Stegodyphus mimosarum contig67647, whole genome shotgun sequence.
GCUUUCGUGGUGUAAUGGUCAGCACACUCGGCGCGUAUUCGAGAGGUUCAGGUUCGAGUCCCGGCUAGGGCA